AAGAAAGUUCAUAAUGGUUAUGAGGCUGGCUUGAAACUAGUUUUUUGGGGGUUCAAUUCCUUCCUUUCUUG
rnacentral:tRNA from 1 species